rnacentral:lncRNA from 1 species
AAUUAUAAAAGAAACAUAAAGAAAUUUUAAAGAACUUCUAAAAAAAUUAUAAAGAAAUAAUAAAGAAAUCCUAAAAAAACUAAAAAAACUAAAAAAAAUUAAAAUAAUAAAAAUAAUAAAAAUAAUAAUAUUUAAAGAAAUCCUAAAUAAACCUAAAAAGAAUCUAUAAGAACCUUAAAAAAAUCCUCAUGAAAUCCUAAAAAAAUCUUAAAAUUGUUUUACAAAAAAAAAUAAAAAAAUAAUCCUUGAAAAAAUCUAAAAGAUAAUUUAAAGAAAUCUAUAAGAAUCUAUUGCUUAAACUAUUGAUCUUGCUUAAAAUUUUACAAACUUUUUAAUUUUUUAGUUAAUAAUACGUACAAUAAAUUUUUUAAAAAAUUAAACUUAUGAAAUGAGAGAAAAAUGUCAUAAUCCACUUGAGUAUAUGUGGGCCUCCAUCUUUGAGUUUAAUAUUAAUAUUCGAGCAAUAAUUACUCCUAAUUA